UACGGAGGAUCCAAGCGUUAUCCGGAUUUAUUGGGUUUAAAGGGUGCGUAGGCGGCUUAUUAAGUCAGUGGUGAAAGCCUGCAGCUUAACUGCAGAACUGCCAUUGAUACUGAUGAGCUUGAGUAUACUUGAGGUGGGCGGAAUGUGUCAUGUAGCGGUGAAAUGCUUAGAUAUGACACAGAACACCGAUUGCGAAGGCAGCUCGCUAAAGUACAACUGACGCUGAGGCACGAAAGCGUGGGGAGCAAACAGG
rnacentral:rRNA from 1 species